rnacentral:rRNA from 1 species
UACGGGGGGAGCAAGCGUUGUUCGGAUUUACUGGGCGUAAAGGGCGCGUAGGCGGUCAGCACAAGUCAGUUGUGAAAUCUCCGGGCUUAACCCGGAAAGGUCAACUGAUACUGUGCGACUAGAGUGCGGAAGGGGCAACUGGAAUUCUCGGUGUAGCGGUGAAAUGCGUAGAUAUCGAGAGGAACACCUGCGGCGAAGGCGGGUCUCUGGACAGUUCCUGACGCUGAGGCACGAAGGCCAGGGGAGCAAACGGG